GGUUCUAUGGUGUAAUGGUUAGCAUUUUGGACUCUGAAUCCAGCGAUCCGAGUUCAAAUCUCGGUAGGACCU
rnacentral:tRNA from 1 species